ACUAAAAUGACAGAUUAAUGUUUAGGAUUUAAGCUCCUAGUAUGAAGAUUUACUCUUCUUUUAGUA
rnacentral:tRNA from 1 species